rnacentral:lncRNA from 1 species
GUUUUUCGUCACUUUUCCUGGUUCGUUUAUUUUAAUUUCGUUGGAUUUUUCCAAGGAUUAUGGCAUAUGACUGUUGUCAUCCCUUGGAUCUAGUUCGAUGAACUUGCAUUAUUUUCUAUAUUCUUUGGAACGAAUGUGUUUUCCCUCUAGGUCUUUUUGUAGUUUCUUAAGGCUAUUGACAUAACAUUGUAUGGCUAUCCGUUGAUCUGCAUGCAUGGUGGCGAACAUCCCGUUUUCCAAAGGAAAUUUCAUCGCCAGAUGAGGUAUGGAGAUUAUGGCUCUUAAUGCAUUAAGGAUCAACCUUCCGAUGAUUAGGUUAUAAGCUGAGAUUCUUUGCACUACCAAUAAUUUGGUGAGGAUUAACUUGGUUUGCGUGUUUGUUGUGAAGGUUAUCAGUAUUUUGGUAAACCCUAAGACCACAACGUUGUCUCUAGAUAGUUCAAUAUACAUAAUUGCUUGCAAGCAUAAUCAAAUAUAAUGUUAAUUGACCAACCAUGACCGAUUAAGCUACGCAUAAAGUUAGACUUUUCCAUACCCUUUGAGAUGACCAUCGAAUCGUCUUGGCUUUUUUCUAUGUCCUUAUAAUCUUUUUCUGAUAAUGUGAUCAUUUUUAGCUCGUUUUUUGAUAUGGGUUAAGGUGCAUACAAACUUGGAAGCUCUAAUAUUGCGUCUUUUGCUUGCACCACUAGUGGAAUAACCCCAAGAGAAUCCUCCAGAUAUAAAGUUGAUUUCUCUUGGUUGGAGAAACAACCUUCUAUUCUUUCUAUCUAACUAGUGCUUCUUUUCAGAGCUUUUAGACCUUCAACGAGGAUUUGGGGACGAUGAACUUCUUCUAUGUGACUUGGGCUUUUUUGUAUCUUCAUGCCUAUUAUUUUUAUUUAUGUACUUCUUUAAUUGGCCUUCUUGUAUCAUUUUCUCAAUCUGAAACUUUAAUACUUGGCAGUUGCCAAAAGAGUGCCCAUUUAUUAUGUGAUAUUGGAAGUACA